UAAGGCCACUCUGGAGCCAAAAUAAUGGGUUC
rnacentral:piRNA from 1 species